rnacentral:rRNA from 1 species
AUACAUGCAAGUCGAGCGCACCUUCGGGUGAGCGGCGGACGGGUGAGUAACGCGUGGGAACGUGCCCUUUGGUUCGGAACAACACAGGGAAACUUGUGCUAAUACCGAAUGUGCCCUUCGGGGGAAAGAUUUAUCGCCAUUGGAGCGGCCCGCGUUGGAUUAGGUAGUUGGUGGGGUAAAGGCCCACCAAGCCGACGAUCCAUAGCUGGUCUGAGAGGAUGAUCAGCCACACUGGGACUGAGACACGGCCCAGACUCCUACGGGAGGCAGCAGUAGGGAAUCUUGCGCAAUGGGCGAAAGCCUGACGCAGCCAUGCCGCGUGAAUGAUGAAGGUCUUAGGAUUGUAAAAUUCUUUCACCGGGGAAGAUAAUGACGGUACCCGGAGAAGAAGCCCCGGCUAACUUCGUGCCAGCAGCCGCGGUAAUACGAAGGGGGCUAGCGUUGCUCGGAAUUACUGGGCGUAAAGGGCGCGUAGGCGGAUAGUUUAGUCAGAGGUGAAAGCCCAGGGCUCAACCUUGGAACUGCCUUUGAUACUGGCUAUCUUGAGUUCGGGAGAGGUGAGUGGAAUGCCGAGUGUAGAGG